UGCGUGUUACCGGUUGCCUGAGCUUGAAUAGUCUGACCAGCACUAUUUGUAAAUUUGGAUCCUGUGUGUUGAGUCGGAACUCUGGUAAGACCAAUAUUACCGAAACUAUCAGUUCCCAUAGGAUUACCAGUGGAGAUUGCUUGAGCAAUGUUAGAAAAUCGAUCGUCACCAGUCCGAACGGGUUUCAUGGGUUUAGUAGCAGGAGCAGUAGAUUGAGAUGGCAAGUUUGAAAAUUGAGCAAAAGGAUUAUUUGAGCCAGUCUUCGUAGGCUCCAAACGAGGAGCAGAUUGUUGUU